GCCAGUUUGGCACGGCUCCCCGCUCCCGAUUCUCGCUGAGAAUCCAAGGAUCCGUGCCAAACAACGUUUCUUGAGGAGCGAUUCUUCGCGGGAGCAAGGGAAUCGAUCCCUGUUUUUACGUUGAACGCAAGGAUCGGAUAGAACCCGCUCCCCCGCGCUCUGGAACCGCUUCUCAACCAACGACGAUACAGACCUCGCCACCAACUUGCAGAUUAUUUACCCGCAAUUGCCACUGAACAAAACCAGGCGCCCUUCUCCCCUGCCCGAUCCCCCUUCGCUCCCCGUGAGUCGCCCGCACACGCUCAGCAGUUGUCCGCCGCCCCCUACUCCGUCCGCCCCCUCCUCUCCCUGAACUCCGGCCGCCGCCCCAGAUCCAGCCGCCGGCGGGCACCUCCACUCCGGCCCCCUUCUGCUCCGCACAGAAACGCCCGAAGCAGUGGUGGCUCGCUAGGUGAUGUGGCCGCCGUCCUGUAGACCGGCCGCCGCCCCAGAUCCGGCCCGCGCGUGCGGGG
rnacentral:lncRNA from 1 species